rnacentral:rRNA from 1 species
GAUGAACGCUGGCGGCGUGCCUAAUACAUGCAAGUCGAGCGAACAGACGCUGAGCUUGCUCCUCUGUCGUUAGCGGCGGACGUGUGAGUAACACGUGUAUAACCUACCUAUAAGACUGGGAUAACUUCGGGAAACCGGAGCUAAUACCGGAUAAUAUAUUGAACCGCAUGGUUCAAUAGUGAAAGACGGCUUUGCUGUCACUUAUAGAUGGAUCCGCGCCGCAUUAGCUAGUUGGUAAGGUAACGGCUUAUCAAGGCGACGAUGCGUAGCCGACCUGAGAGGGGGAUAGGCCACCUGAGAAGUGGGACGGGGACAAUGCGACUAAGGGAGGGAGCAGUAGGGAAUCGUCCGCAACGGGCGGAAACCUGGCGGAACAAGCGCGAGGGAGUGAUGAAGGUGCCGGGAGCGGAAAACCCGGUUAUGAGGGGAGAACAAAUGUGGAAGGAACCAUGCACGGCUUGACGGUACCUAAUCAGAAAGCCACGGCUAACUACGUG